rnacentral:rRNA from 1 species
GGCGGCGUGCUUAACACAUGCAAGUCGAGCGGAAAGGCCUUCGGGGUACUCGAGCGGCGAACGGGUGAGUAACACGUGAGUAACCUGCCCCUGACUCUGGGAUAAGCCUGGGAAACCGGGUCUAAUACCGGAUACGACCAUUUCUCGCAUGGGAUGGUGGUGGAAAGUUUUUUCGGUUGGGGAUGGGCUCGCGGCCUAUCAGCUUGUUGGUGGGGUGAUGGCCUACCAAGGCGACGACGGGUAGCCGGCCUGAGAGGGCGACCGGCCACACUGGGACUGAGACACGGCCCAGACUCCUACGGGAGGCAGCAGUGGGGAAUAUUGCGCAAUGGGCGGAAGCCUGACGCAGCGACGCCGCGUGGGGGAUGACGGCCUUCGGGUUGUAAACCUCUUUCAGCAGGGACGAAGUUGACGUGUACCUGUAGAAGAAGCGCCGGCUAACUACGUGCCAGCAGCCGCGGUAAUACGUAGGGCGCGAGCGUUGUCCGGAAUUAUUGGGCGUAAAGAGCUCGUAGGUGGCUUGUCGCGUCUGCCGUGAAAGCCCGUGGCUUAACUACGGGUCUGCGGUGGAUACGGGCAGGCUAGAGGCUGGUAGGGGCAAGCGGAAUUCCUGGUGUAGCGGUGAAAUGCGCAGAUAUCAGGAGGAACACCGGUGGCGAAGGCGGCUUGCUGGGCCAGUUCUGACGCUGAGGAGCGAAAGCGUGGGGAGCGAACAGGAUUAGAUACCCUGGUAGUCCACGCUGUAAACGUUGGGCGCUAGGUGUGGGGCCUUCCACGACUUCUGUGCCGUAGCUAACGCAUUAAGCGCCCCGCCUGGGGAGUACGGCCGC